GAUGCUUUGAAUUGUCUCACCUAGACCUCCAAGUUUCAGAUUUAGAAGUGAGUUUUCAAAUAUGAUGACUUUAUUUUAUUGAUUUGUUUUUGGUUUUUAUUUGUACAAGGAAAAGGAAUUAAUGAGUAACACUCAACAGGCAUGCAGAGUUCAUAGAAAGGAGACCAGGGAGAAGAAGCACCUUUCUUACCCCAUUUGUAAAGUCAGUGGGUUGGACUGGAUGAUCUGGAAGGCCCCUCCUGGCUCUUACUUCUAUGUAUGUGUAUUUCUGUGUAUAUGUGUAUAUACAUGUGUACAUACACAUAGACCCAUCUUUUACUGUUUGUAUAUGUACAUGCAUGUAGGUACAAACAUAUACAUGCCAUCCUCGCUC
rnacentral:lncRNA from 1 species